CACGUAUUCUCCAGGGUAAAAGCAUUCCAUACUGCGGGGAUAGUGUGCGGUAUCUGCGUAAUGAGGCAAAACUUUGUACCACACUGCACCAUGUGAAUUCUCAUCCACUUUCUGUUCAGAAUGAAAAAAUACCCAGCAAUGAUUCAUAAUACUGUUCUCUUCAUAUGUGUCAAAGAGUUUUGGAGGAAUGCCUUCAGGCCAUUCUGUUCUCGAUUUUCCUUUAAAGCUCAGUUGUAUCUUUUUCAAUUUCACAGGCUUAUAAAUUUGAAUGCACAAAGAUCCACGCAAAACAGCUGAAUGUUCACUUUGAAUUUCACUUGAAGUCGCUCCAGGUAAAUAGAGCACAGGUUCAGCAAGCGCAAUAGCUACUCUGGCAUUAGAGUUAGAAGAAAGCAGAAGCCAUUCACGAGCUCGAUAUGAUAGACCUUCACAUUUACUAAUUUUCUCUUCCUGGUAUAUAUGUUGCGAGGGAUCAGGCUGUGUGGUUCUAUCAGUCAAGCGAAUUACAGGGUUGUAGCCAUUGGAAGAAGGUCCGUAAGGAAACACCUUGUCGUGAUAAUUUCUCAGAUUGGGAAUAUACAUCAAACGAGAUACACACUAUGAUAGUACUUCGCAACUAUGUAUCUCAGAACAAGCACCUUGCAAGGCGUACUUCAGAGGCCUAAAAAUCGAGAUGAACAAAUGAAUUAAAGAUAAAAAAUGCACAGCUUAAAUGACAGCGU